rnacentral:lncRNA from 1 species
AAGGGAAAUGCCACAGACAUCCAUGGUCUUGGAUGCUCAACAGAAGUGCUUGCCUUGGUGAUCCAAAAAAGGCAGGAUCCGGCCGGGGGCAAGGUGAUUAUUCUGUCUGAUGAGGAGAAUAAGAGCCAGUUUGUGGUAUUGACAGAAGAAUGAAAGUAAAGUUCAACCAAUCUACAAAGGCCAAAAAUAUUUUCACAGGCCCCCAAAAGAUGAACUCCAAUCUGCUGCCCCUAAACGCAUUCUCCACUGUCUGGAAGAUGUGCAAAGGCAACGGCACAGCGUUCUCCAUCUCAAAUCCUUCAAAGUGCUGUCAGAAUAAAAGAAUCCCCACCAAAAGCCCCAGGGAAAUCUAUCUGUCUGUAUGGUAUGGUAAUGACUGAGGUUAUUCCAGAUAGGAUUCUGGGAGAAACUCAGCUAUUGAAAUCUAAUGAAUGGAACUGAGAAUUUCUUGUUAUAAUACUGUUUGUUUGAUUGAAUAUAUCCUUGCAUAUAGGAAGACAUAAAAAUAAAUAAUAAAAGCAAGAUAUUAUUUGAAUUUUUGUUUGAUUAUAUAAUCUGAGAAUUUUUCUGGUAAGUAAUUUUGCAUCUGGAUUUAUUUUUUCUGCCAGUCACUUGCCUU